GACGAACGCUGGCGGCGUGCUUAACACAUGCAAGUCGAACGGAAAGGCCCUGCUUUUGUGGGGUGCUCGAGUGGCGAACGGGUGAGUAACACGUGAGUAACCUGCCCUUGACUUUGGGAUAACUUCAGGAAACUGGGGCUAAUACAGGAUAGGAGCUCCUGCUGCAUGGUGGGGGUUGGAAAGUUUCGGCGGUUGGGGAUGGACUCGCGGCUUAUCAGCUUGUUGGUGGGGUAGUGGCUUACCAAGGCUUUGACGGGUAGCCGGCCUGAGAGGGUGACCGGCCACAUUAGGACUGAGAUACGGCCCAGACUCCUACGGGAGGCAGCAGUGGAGAAUAUUGCACAAUGGGCGGAAGCCUGAUGCAGCAACGCCGCGUGCGGGAUGACGGCCUGCGGGUUGUAAACCGCUUUCGCCUGUGACGAAGCGUGAGUGACGGUAAUGGGUAAAGAAGCACCGGCUAACUACGUG
rnacentral:rRNA from 1 species